rnacentral:lncRNA from 1 species
UUUUCCCUCUGGAGUUUUGUUAUACUCAAAAUAACAACUUUAAUUGAUACCUAGGACCUUAUCAUUGGUGCUUUCAUUCUGUCACUAUGCCCCCUCGACAAGAACGCCCAGCUGAUGACAUCUCUGUCCAGCUGCGAGAAAUGCAGCAGAGCAUUGAUUCUGUCACCAACCAACAAGAACAAUUCCAAACUUUUCUCACCACACAACUGCCUCUCCUCAUAAAAGAACAUGUGGCUUCCUCUUCCCCUCAAAACAACACUUUCGC